rnacentral:rRNA from 1 species
UACGGAGGGUGCAAGCGUUAAUCGGAAUUACUGGGCGUAAAGCGUGCGCAGGCGGUUUGUUAAGUCUGUUGUGAAAUCCCCGGGCUCAACUUGGGAAUUGCAAUGGAUACUGGCAGGCUGGAGUAUGGUAGAGGAAGGUGGAAUUCCCGGUGUAGCAGUGAAAUGCGUAGAGAUCGGGAGGAACACCAGUGGCGAAGGCGGCCUUCUGGACCAAUACUGACGCUCAUGCACGAAAGCGUGGGGAGCAAACAGG